UAUUGUUUGUUUGAGGUUUGUGCCAC
rnacentral:piRNA from 1 species